rnacentral:rRNA from 1 species
UACGUAGGGGGCUAGCGUUGUCCGGAUUUAUUGGGCGUAAAGAGCGUGUAGGCGGCCAGGUAGGUCUGCUGUGAAAACUCGAGGCUCAACCUCGAGACGUCGGCGGAAACCAUCUGGCUAGAGUCCGGAAGAGGAGAGUGGAAUUCCUGGUGUAGCGGUGAAAUGCGCAGAUAUCAGGAAGAACACCCGUGGCGAAGGCGGGUCUCUGGACAGUUCCUGACGCUGAGGCACGAAGGUCAGGGGGAGCAAACGGG